rnacentral:lncRNA from 1 species
CUCAAAGUCUGGCAUCCUAUUGCCUUUUCAUCACAGCGUAAACAUCUGUCAUGCUGAAAAACUUCACCUUUAAGAUGCUAGAAAAAACACCACUUUUGACAGAAUGUGCUCCCCUGCUUCCCCACCAAGAUUGUGUUCCCCAUCAACAACCGUGUCACAGUAUUGAGAGCUGCCUUGGGUCACGGCUGGUGCAGGCCCUUAGUCAUAAGCAGUGGGCUUGCCAGCUGCAAGCUUCUACCACCUGACUUGGGGAACAGAAAUCCUCCAGGAAGAUCUAGGCCAGGUUCUGGAGUCUUGUGUUGGCUCAAAAAGAGAAGUGCAGCCUGCACUGGGCCAACAGCAUGGAAGUCAGCUCAGGGUGGGAGCUGGCAUCUGGUGAGCUCAGGUAUAUGAGCAUGGUUACUGCAGACAACACUGUCUCCUCAUUGGGAUUGGACAGGCAGUUGCUGACAAGCAGGAUACUGCCUGUAUGCAAGAUAUGGUCCUGUUGGUCCUGUCUGAGCAUAGGUUGCAGAGGCCCCUAACAACAAACUCCACCAGGUUCUCAUUCUCUUCUGACAGAGAAUCAAGCAAUAUAUCCAGGACUUGUAGUUGUCACAGAUACUGGUAUUUGCAGGGGUCACAGGCAAAGCUGGCAAGAUUGGCAAGGGACUUGCUACUUGGCAUCCCAGCUUUCAGAUUCCUGGAAUUCCAUAAGCAGUGCCUAAAGAUACCCCAGCUGCCUGAUGUGGGGUUCUACCUUUGGCUUCUGGACCAUGGUUGGAGCAGCAGAGGACUUUCAGGGGACUAAUGGGAGAGAGGGAAAGGCAAGGCUGGAAAGCCUAAAAGAACCUCACCUGGCUCUCCACAGGUGGACAGGACAGAAUAUGGGUUUCUUUUCUAGGUUCAGAUUCUGCAAAACUUGUAGAUGGAACUGAGAUGUGAAGGAUGAGGAGUUGGCUUCAAAACUGAGAGACAGGAAGGCAGCCGCCAGCUGGGGCAGGAGAUGCAGACAGGAGUACAGCCACAACUCCUGCUCAUUUCUUAUGUUUUAACACCACUUAUCACAUAUGAAAUCAUACUCAUUUUCUAUACAUUUACUUCCUGC